GACGAACGCUGGCGGCGUGCUUAACACAUGCAAGUCGAACGGAAAGGCCCUGCUUUUGUGGGGUGCUCGAGUGGCGAACGGGUGAGUAACACGUGAGUAACCUGCCCUUGACUUUGGGAUAACUUCAGGAAACUGGGGCUAAUACCGGAUAGGAUCUCCUGCUGCAUGGUGGGGGUUGGAAAGUUUCGGCGGUUGGGGAUGGACUCGCGGGUUAUCAGCUUGUUGGUGGGGUAGUGGCUUACCAAGGCUUUGACUGGUAGCCGGCCUGAGAGGGUGACCGGCCACAUUGCGACUGAGAGACGGACCAGACGCGUACGGGAGGCAGCAGUGGGGAAUAUGACAGAACGGGCGGACGCGUGAUGCAACGACGCCGCGUGCGGGAUGACGGCUUUCGGGUUGUAAACCGCUUUCGCCUGUGACGAGGCGUUAGUGACGGUAAUGGGUAAAAAAGCACCGGCUAACUACGUG
rnacentral:rRNA from 1 species